AUGACUCUCGGCAACGGAUAUCUCGGCUCUCGCAUCGAUGAAGAACGUAGCGAAAUGCGAUACCUGGUGUGAAUUGCAGAAUCCCGCGAACCAUCGAGUCUUUGAACGCAAGUUGCGCCCGAGGCCACUCGGCCGAGGGCACGCCUGCCUGGGCGUCACGU
rnacentral:rRNA from 1 species